CUGGAAGCUACAAUAACAGCUUUACAGUAUGUGGCCAAAUCCUGCCUGCUGUGCAUACCUUUGAGACUCCCUGGGGUACA